CCUGCCCCUCUGCGCUGCAAGUGUGGCUGGUGUGCUUAAUAGGCAUAGUAGGUUCCAGAGAAGAGAAACGUCAUGUCUACACUCAGUGUUCUAACCUAUGAACAUCUGAAUCUUGAGUAACCUAACAUC